rnacentral:lncRNA from 10 species
UUGGCAGGGGGCAGUUUUGCCAUCAGAGUGGAGGUGAGGGGUCUGUUGUGGUGGCAGUCAGCAGCUGCCUGAGGAUCUGGGAGAGACCUAGCAGGCAGUGAGGACAGUGGAUGGCAAGGGGCCUCAGAGCUCUGUGACCUCAUAAUUUUCCUGUGGGACCACAAAGGUGGCUUCCACAGUGCAUAGUGGUUAUCAGCUGUGCCUCCCUCUUAGAGGUCCUCGGAGUCCAGAGUCCUCGAAGGGAAAUCUGACACAAAGAAGCAGGUGUGAGACCGGCCCCUUUCUCCCAUGCCUUAGACAGGGCUCCAGGGACUGCUUCAGGGGAGAUGUCAGAGGGCAGCAGGGACCGGGAAGGGAGGAAGAAAGCAGAGUGACAGUGAGAGGUGGGAAAACUACAAGAGGAAUUGUUUGUACGCUUGGAUCUGGACUUUUAGAACUGGUCAGGACCUGACAGAUCCUCCAGCCCAGUUCUCCCGGCUCUCAAACACUGGCAUCAUUUAUAAUUCCCUGGAAAAUCACCAGCAGGUAAAUGAAGGAGAAAAGAAAAGAACAAAAUCCACCGGGAACCAGAGACUUCCAGGCUCCAAAGACAGGCAAUCUCCACCAGGAACAUAUGACCUAGGAGCAGGAGUGAAGGAUGGGAGUGAAGCAAGGAAGGAAAGAGAGUCGAUUACAGAGCUGUUUCGUUGAGCUGGUCACAGCUCCUGUGUCCAAUCUCGUGGGGCUGCCUGAGAUGUCUUGAAGUCAUAAGCCCAGAGAAAGAACAGAGGGGAUGCCUUUAUCCACUGGAUCCAUUUUUCCAAUGAUCAAAGGGCUGGAGUGCAGCUGAGGUCUGGCUUUAGCCAAGGAGAGCACCUUGAAACCUGGCAGAGAAUUACAGUGAACCAGAAGACUAAGUGAAGCAUGAACUGGCAUAAUAUGCUUUCCUGGCUGAAAACCAUGAAUGACCCAGAAUAGUUCAUAUCUUUGGAAGAUCCUUAUUUUCCUUGUAAAUGAAAGUCAUGCAUUUGGAAUAAUAACAUGAAAUGAUGUGAAUGGUAGGGACUCAAAAACUUUCUCUUCCAAAAAUAUUCUACAGAUUCAUGCUCAGGAAAGCCAAAUGCUCUACAAUAGGAUGAAGUGGCUCCAGGAGAGUUCUGUUUACUACUUUAAUAAGUGACUAAAUAUAUGGUAUUUACGCAUAUGAAAUUGGCUUAACUAGGACAUCUCAUUUCCUAGCCUUUGCAUAUAAAAGAGAAUUGACAGUAAUUCAGGUUAACUCAAAAUGUAUCAUUUAAUUGUCUUUGUCCCACAUGACUAGUAAGUAGGUCACUAGCCACUUUUUUUUUUUUUGAGACAGAGUCUUGCUGUGUUGCCCAGGCUGGAGUGCAGUGGCAUGAUCUUGGCUCACUGCAACUUCCAACUCCUAGAUUCAAGCGAUUCUUCUGCCUCAGCCUCCUGAGUAGCUGGGUUUACAGUCAUGCGCCACCAUGCCAGGCUAAUUUUUUGUAUUUUUAGGAGAGACAGGGUUUCGCCAUGUUUGGCAGGCUAGUCUCGAACCCCUGACCUCAGAGAUCCACCCAUCUCAGCCUCCAGAAGUGCUGGGAUUACAGGCAUGAGCCACCGCGCCCGGCCACCAGCCACUUCUAACCCUACUCUCUCUCGGAAGUUUUGAGUUGUAUGCACACUCAGACCUCUUUGCUUUCCCAGUGUAUCAGUUUUGACCUAAUCCUUUUUCUAUGUAUUUAACUCUUGCUAUAGUUCCUUUGGAUCGUAUAGUAAGAUUGCCAAGUGAAAAACUCCUGAUGUGUGUUCAAGUCAUAGACUCCAUUUCUAAAUCUCCAAAUUCAUAUGUUUCAUUUCUUAUCACCUUCUCCUUCCUCCUUCUGUCUCUACUUCUGUUAUUCUGUUCCUGCUUAUCCCAUUGGUCCUGUCUUAAGUUAUCCCUUGGAUUAAAAAUAAUAAUAAUAAAACUUUUUAUUAUAGAAAAUCUCAAAUAUGUACCAAAGCCUUUAAUCAUGUAA